rnacentral:rRNA from 1 species
CCUACGGGAGGCAGCAGUAGGGAAUAUUGCUCAAUGGGGGAAACCCUGAAGCAGCAACGCCGCGUGGAGGAUGAAGGUUUUCGGAUUGUAAACUCCUUUUGUUAGAGAAGAUAAUGACGGUAUCUAACGAAUAAGCACCGGCUAACUCCGUGCCAGCAGCCGCGGUAAUACGGAGGGUGCAAGCGUUACUCGGAAUCACUGGGCGUAAAGGGCGGGUAGGCGGGAUAGCAAGUCAGAUGUGAAAUCCUAUGGCUUAACCAUAGAACUGCAUUUGAAACUGUUAUUCUAGAGUAUGGGAGAGGUAGGUGGAAUUCUUGGUGUAGGGGUAAAAUCCGUAGAGAUCAAGAGGAAUACUCAUUGCGAAGGCGACCUGCUAGAACAUAACUGACGCUGAUGCGCGAAAGCGUGGGGAGCAAACAGGAUUAGAUACCCGGGUAGUC